UUAGAACCCUAUUCUCCCUCCCACACAGUUUUUGCAUCUCUUAACCAGCCCCCUCCCUCUCUCUUUCUUUGCCUGUUCUCUUCUCUCUUCCCCUCAUACCCAUUUCAUUUUCUCUUUGCCUCCUUCUCUCUGGUCGAAGACAACGCUCUGCCUGGGUCGAAGAUUCGAAGAGGAGGACAGUAGGCUAGGAAUGUAUACACUCAUUCCUUGGCUAGAUGCUGCUUUUAUGGAGUAAUUAGGAAUAUCAUAGGACUGACUUUUAAGGUGGAUGCCUAGAUUUAUUAGGAAGAAUAUUGAGAAAAUAAACAUGAUUGAGUUUGCAGUGAUUUGGAGAAGAGAAUUAUGCUCUCUUGUUGAGAUUUGUUGUAUUAUAUAUUUUGAAGUUUAUGGAUUUAUAAUAUUAUAAUGAAUUUUUAUUGAGAAUUAUUUAGUCUCAUGGGGAUUUGAUGUAUUAUUUAUAUUUCAAUUGUAUGAAUAAAUGUUGUAUGUAUAUGAA